UAAUUUCUGUUUCAGAGAAAAUGUCAGAUAAGGUGAAGAAUAUAAAGAUGGAGAAGGAGGAGAAGGAGAAGAUGGAGAAGGUGAAGAAUUUAAGGAAGAGGAUGGCAAAGAAGACGGAUGAGAAGGAGAAAAGGGAGAAGAAGAAGACGAACAAGAAGAAAGAGGGGAAGUGUGGUUGUGUCUGUCAAGAUUGUGGAUAUCAGUGUCCGUAGUCCUAGAUCCAAAUCUAUUCCGCGUAAUUUUGAAUAAAGGUUUUAUUAUGUACAAAUUUACUUAUUCUGUAAGAGAUGUUUAUGGAACUGAUUAUGCAAUGUGGAAAAUCCUAGUUUGCAUCUAAAUUUCUUUAAGUCAAAUUCUUUGACAAAUAAAGCUUUAUUAUCUGUUAAGAAUUAAAUAAAUUUUAUUGAAAUUGUGAAAA